UAGCAUAUCAAUAAGCGGAGGAAAAGAAACCAACCGGGAUUGCCCUAGUAACGGCGAGUGAAGCGGCAAGAGCUCAAAUUUGAAAGCUGGCUCCUUCGGGGUCCGCAUUGUAAUUUGCAGAGGAUGCUUCGGGAGCGGUCCCCAUCUAAGUGCCCUGGAACGGGCCGUCAUAGAGGGUGAGAAUCCCGUAUGGGAUGGGGUGCCCGCGCCCGUGUGAAGCUCCUUCGACGAGUCGAGUUGUUUGGGAAUGCAGCUCUAAUUGGGUGGUAAAUUUCAUCUAAAGCUAAAUAUUGGCCGGAGACCGAUAGCGCACAAGUAGAGUGAUCGAAAGAUGAAAAGCACUUUGAAAAGAGAGUUAAACAGCACGUGAAAUUGUUGAAAGGGAAGCGCUUGCGAUCAGACUCGCUCGCGGGGUUCAGCCGGCCUUCGGGCCGGUGUACUUCCCCGCGGGCGGGCCAGCGUCGGUUUGGGCGGCCGGUCAAAGGCCCCUGGAAUGUAACGCCUCUCGGGGCGUCUUAUAGCCAGGGGUGCCAUGCGGCCUGCCCGGACCGAGGAACGCGCUUCGGCUCGGACGCUGGCAUAAUGGUCGUAAGCGACCCGUCUUGAAACACGGACCAAGGAGUCUAACAUCUACGCGAGUGUUCGGGUGUCAAACCCGUGCGCGCAGUGAAAGCGAACGGAGGUGGGAACCCCUCGGGGUGCACCAUCGACCGAUCCUGAUGUCUUCGGAUGGAUUUGAGUAAGAGCGUAGCUGUUGGGACCCGAAAGAUGGUGAACUAUGCCUGAAUAGGGCGAAGCCAGAGGAAACUCUGGUGGAGGCUCGCAGCGGUUCUGACGUGCAAAUCGAUCGUCAAAUUUGGGUAUAGGGGCGAAAGACUAAUCGAACCAUCUAGUAGCUGGUUCCUGCCAAU
rnacentral:rRNA from 1 species